rnacentral:rRNA from 1 species
CCCUUAGAUGUCCUGGGCCGCACGCGCGCUACAAUGACACGUUCAACAAGUUCUAUCCUGGCCUGGAAAGGUGCGGGUAAUCUUUUUAGUACGUGUCGUGUUAGGGAUCGAUCUUUGGAAUUAUAGAUCUUGAACGAGGAAUUCCUAGUAAGUGCAAGUCAUCAGCUUGUACUGAUUACGUCCCUGCCCUUUGUACACACCGCCCGUCGCUACUACCGAUUGGAUGGUUUAGCGAGAACUUUGGGCCGGAGCUCGGGUGGUCAGCAAUGGCCGCCCGAGACAUACUGGGAAAUCGCUCCAGCUUGAUCAUCUAGAGGAAGUAAAAGUCGUAACA